GAAAGGCUCCCCAGCCUGACUGCUGCAGGUGUAAGAUCGGUUUGUGGAUUCCCAGUGUCUUACAAAGAUCCAGGACCAAAACUGGACCUCCGGACCGUCAAAUUAAAGAAAGGAGCAAUGAGCAAGAAAGGCUACCCACCUGACUUCACAUCAUGAGUUCCUGUUUACUAUCCUUCUGCCCCAGAGAUGUACCCAAGGACCAGGAUUUUAUCUUUUUCAUUGCUCAAGGUCUGAUAGAGUUCACUCCUGCUGAAUGAAUAGUGGAACGACCUUCCCUGACCUCAUUUUCAUGUCGGCGCGAGCACACCCGGAGCCCGCGCCACACACUCAGGAGGAG